AUGCUUGCAUCAGUUGAUCUAUGGCAUCGUCGGCUUGGUCAUCCUAAUAAAGCUACACUAUCAUCAUUACUACAGGAAUUUUGUAUCCCUAGUUCUAGUGUCUCUCAUGAUUCCUCUCUUUGUAAUGCCUGUCAAUGUGGCAAACAUAUUAGACUAUCUUUUGGUACCUCCUUUACUAUUAGUACUUUUCCUUUUGAAUUACUACAUUGUGAUCUAUGGACCUCUCCAAUUCCUAGUGUUUCUGGUUAUAAAUACUAUCUUGUAAUUCUUGAUGAUUAUUCCCAUUAUGUUUGGACCUUUCCU
rnacentral:rRNA from 1 species